AUGAGGAUAAGACCAGAAGUCAUAUACCACCAUGAAGAUCAUGAACUGGUGAUUUUGAAACCUUCAUGAGACUCCAAAGUAGAAUCCCUCCAAUAGUGAUCCACACAGGAUUGAUCAGAACCCUUCCCAACUCGUCAUGCUCUUACAGCCUUCUUCGCAAGUGCGCUGCCGAUCGUCCUUCGCAAGAACUCAUUGCACCAUUGCUUGUAUACCUUCAUGACCUCCACUA
rnacentral:lncRNA from 1 species